rnacentral:rRNA from 1 species
UACAGAGGUCUCAAGCGUUGUUCGGAUUCAUUGGGCGUAAAGGGUGCGUAGGUGGCGCCGUAAGUCAGGUGUGAAAUUCCGGAGCUUAACUCCGAAACUGCAUUUGAUACUGCGGUGCUUGAGGACUGGAGAGGAGACUGGAAUUUACGGUGUAGCAGUGAAAUGCGUAGAGAUCGUAAGGAAGACCAGUGGCGAAGGCGGGUCUCUGGGCCGAUACUGACGCUGAGGAGCGAAAGCGUGGGGAGCGAACAGG